rnacentral:tRNA from 2 species
GCUCUCGUAGCUCAAAUGGAUAGAGCAACGCCCUCCUAAGGCGUAGGUUGCGCGUUCAAGUCGCGCCGAGGGCA